ensembl:rRNA 5S_rRNA 5S ribosomal RNA
UACACACAGCCAUAUCACCCUGCAGCCCAAGACGGGUUGCCCACUGAAGCUAAGCAGGGCUGAGCCUGGUCAGUACCUGGAUGGGAGACCUCCUGGGGAAACUAGGUUGCUGCUGGAA